UGCACGAAGUUGUCAUUUAUUCCGUUCCUGGUGCUCCAGCAUCUCAUGCUUUUUCUCCAGCACGCCAAUCGCUGUUUUCUGUAGGGAAUCAAAGUCCCUGAUAGUAAAGGGUCCGGCCCGCUCGCAAGUAUCGUUCAGCUCCGAAGAACUGCGCUCGAGUACUUUUGGAAAGAAAAGUCUUUAUCAUUUCUUCGGUGGAUCAGAAGUAUUGACAGCAGGUUUGGGAAAGGAAGAAGGAAAGGUCUUCUGUCAGUGGCGAAAGGGGUGCCUGGAGCACGAAAGGUUGAGGAACACUUAUCUAGACACAGAACUAAGCGAAUUCUGAAUUAGGUUUGGGAAAGGAAGAAGGAAAGGUCUUCUGUCAGUGGCGAAAGGGGUGCCUGGAGCACGAAAGGUUGAGGAACACUUAUCUAGACCACAGAACUAAGCGAAUUCUGAAUUAGG